rnacentral:tRNA from 1 species
GGCGGAGUAGCUCAGGUGGUUAGAGCAGCGGAAUCAUAAUCCGCGUGUCGGGGGUUCGAGUCCCUCCUCCGGCA